rnacentral:rRNA from 1 species
UACAGAGGUCUCAAGCGUUGUUCGGAUUCAUUGGGCGUAAAGGGUGCGUAGGCGGCGCGGUAAGUCGGGUGUGAAAUCUUGGAGCUUAACUCCGAAACUGCAUUCGAUACUGCCGUGCUUGAGGACUGGAGAGGAGACUGGAAUUUACGGUGUAGCGGUGAAAUGCGUAGAUAUCGUAAGGAAGACCAGUGGCGAAGGCGGGUCUCUGGGCUAUAACUGACGCUCAUGCACGAAAGCGUGGGGAGCAAACAGG